rnacentral:lncRNA from 1 species
CAAACAAAAUUAUUUGUUUAAUUUUGGCCUUUCACCAAAAUGAUGAAAUCAUUUUUAGAAAACAGAUAUUGUUCCACUCUUCAAGUACUCUAUCGAUAGGGGAGUGAGCCAGGUUUCAAAUAAAAUAUGUGUAGCCAAAUAAUUUUUAACUUUAAGUCCAGUCUAGUUAACACAGUGUUACAUUUGGUACAAGUGUACAAUGUAAUGAUUCAACAACCCUAUACACCACUGAGUGUUCAUCAAGGUAACCUACUCUAUAAUACCUUUGAUCUAUUUCACCCACCUUCCAAAUACUUUUUUGAAUAUUAAAUAAUCUUUUAUCUAUAACAAUGUUUGAAAUGUUUUUUUAAUCCAUCAUGAACUAUGAUGCAUGCCACAAAGAAAAUGCAUGUCCUUCUAAGCAGUUGUUUCCAAGAUUCUUGAUUCAGAUAUUAGCAUUAUGAAAAAAAAUAUCUUUAACCCCUAGUCUCAAACUGCCAAAAUACUUGAAGCAAGCAUAUGACCAACUCUCAAAGUUUUAAUUUCCAGACCUGAAACUAGAAUAUAAAACUAUCAAAGGCUUAAUUUCCAAUAUAUUGGCCAUUAGUGGCAUGUGACCAGUAUUAAAAUAAUAAUAAAAUAUAUAUUAAAUAUAUUAAAAUGUGACUAGUAUUACCAAGGAAUUAAAUUCUUAUUAAUUAUAAUUAAUUUUAUCUAAAUUUAAAAGCAGUGUAAAAUGUCUUUCUACUAAAGAGAAUGUUAUUGUCUUGAUAGUACUACAUUGCAUUGUAACCGCUGCACUGUGUAUUAUACUGAGCACUAUAAUAAGUCAUUUCUAGUUACAUAUAAAAUUGAUCUAGACAGCAACAAUUAACUAUUAAGCUGUAAUGAUUUCAAAAAGCUGGAAUGAUUUUUUACACAUAUCAUGUAAUAACAGUGUAAUGCAUUUACUUAAAUAUUUUUGGAAAUAACACAAAUUGCAGUGAUGCCUAUUUAAAUCAUAAUGGUAACUAAAUGGAGAUAUGUUUUCAUUUUUACCGUAAUUUUAUUAUUUAACAUAUUUUGAAUAUAGUUACUUUCUUUAAAAACAAAUGAACAAAAAGGGGAGAGCAAGGUAUGAACAAAAUUUUUAAGUUAAAAAAAAAAAGGAAUGCAAAAUUAAGUGAUGACACAGAAGCUAGUACUACCACCAAAACAGUGAGACUAGAAGGUACUCCACAAAGUUUACUAUGAAUAACAAUUAAAAUCAGCUGUGGCAGAGCAAAAUAAAAAACCUGUUCCUUAUGUUAAAAAAAAAAAAUUACCUUCAAAUAAAAAAGUGGACAUUAAGAUAUAUUAUGAAUUUUAUAAAAAGUUUCCUCUCUAUAAUCAAAAGAGAAGCUACAAAAUUAGUCACCUGAUAACAAUUAAAUGUCUAACAAACGUUUUUAAAUGCUUUUGAAGGGACACCUGGUUGGCUCAGCAGUUGAGCAUCUGCCUUCGGCUCAGCGCACGGCCCCAAAGUACUGGGAUCAAGUCCCACAUCAGGCUUUUUGCAUGGGGCUUGCUUCUCCCUCUGACUGUGUCUCUGCCUCUCUCUGUCAUGAAUAAAUAAAAUAUUUUAAAAUAAAAUAAAAUAAAAUAUAAAUAAAUGAUUUUUAAGAGAUCACUCUGGCCAGGUAUAAAAAGCCUUAAAUUCCUGCAUCAAAGAAAAAAAAAAAAGGAACCAUAUUUAGAUGGAGAGAUGAUAAAGAAAUUUCAAUUAUAGAAAUUGCUAGAAAAUUAUGAGGAAUAGUAAGGAGGAUAUUUUGUAAGAAAUGAAGUUCUUAAAAUGAACCAUCAAACAAUUGCCCAUCAUAUGGAAGACCUUUCUAAAUACCAGAAAUCAAUAAAUUCGUGGUGCCUAGGUGGUUCAAUGGUUGAAUGUCUGCUCAGGUCGUGAUCCUGAGUCCUGGGAUUCAGUCCUGCAUCAUGCUCCCCCCAGGGAGACUGCUUCUCCCUCUGCCUGUCUUUGCCUCUCUCUCCCUCUCUCUCUCACACACACACACAUAAAUAAAAUCUUAAAAAAAAAUCAAUAGAUUCAAAAUUUGAGAAAUAAACACACUGACAAAUUAAAACCUUAGGCACAUUUUGUUUGAAAAAACUUCCAAAUUUAAGAAAAAAAAAAAGUCAAUAUGUGGCUUUAAAAAAAAUCAAAACUGUGGCAUAUUUUUCAAUUUUUACAUCUUUCAAAGAAUUUCACCUAUAUAUUUAAAAGUAGUUUCUAUCACAAUAGGCAACUCCAACUAUGUUUGGCCAUAAGUAAGUAACCCAUACUUACUCUCUUUAAAACAAGAAACUGAUGUUUCUCUUUAUUGUUUUAUUCCACUGUAUGAUACACAUUGAAAAUAUCUGUGCUCAGUUUUCUAGAGCAGACUUGAAAGGUGCCAGGGAUUAAAUUGUUAAAAUCAGUAAGUAUGUACAUGCAAAUGGUAUGUAUACUAGCCAGUUUAUGAAAUGAUUGGAAAAAAGCAAAAGACAAUAUAUUUAAUAAUCUUGUGUUCUUUGCUCAUUGGUGAGUAGAGGAAGAAUUUCACAAAGAUUUACUGUACUGUUAACUCUCAUUCAAGGAAGGAUUGCUUUUCAAUAUUCAAUAAUCAAAGACAAAAAUGGCAAUAUACUUUACGAAAAUACACCAGUACCCAGCUACAUAUACACAAGCCUAAUCUGAAGAAUCAAAGAAGGGAAACAUUUAUGACCUAGCUAUACAGAUGUGGAAAUUUAUGUUAAAACUGCAAGUUUUCAUAAUACAAAUCAAUAAUAAAGAUUUUCUACUCUUCCCUAAUAUGAAUCAAUAUACAGAAGAUUUUAAUUACAGUGUACAAUGUUAUGAAAACUGGCUGCAAAAAUGACAAGAAAUAGUUGAAUACUUUGUUGAUGCUGAUUAAAUUUAGAGCUGCUUUUCAACUUAUACAAUACCCUUUGGAAUUUUAUGUUAAUAGUACUGGGUUUAACUCAAGAGUAGGUGAAUUUGCUUAAUUUGAGUAGUAGUUUUGAAGCAGAUAAAGUAUAUGAACCAAUUUAUCAAUUUGGAUGCAGAUAUUAAAAGAAAAUUAUUUUUUGGUACUUAACUCAGACAUUGAAAAACAUUAAGUAUAUUUGGAACAACUUAGGUGUCUGAAUCUACUUCUUCACCCAUAAAUUUUAUGAAAUCUAAAUGAAGAUUAAAUAUUUCUGAAGAAAUUUUAGUGACUAAAUUGAGGUGUAAAGUACCUGACCAGGUUUUGAAUAAUUUGUACAAAAAAGAAAUGUAAAAUAUCUCAAUAUUUUUUAAUUGACUAUAUGCUAAGAUGAUACAUUAGAUAUAUCAGAUUAAGUAAAACUAAUUUAGGCUCUUUUUUUGUACAGUUUUCUUAAUGAGGCUACCAGAAAUUUUCAAAAACUUUUUUUUUUUAAGAUUUUAUUUAUUUAUUCAUGAGAGACACAGAGAGAGAGAGGCAGAGACACAGGGAGAGGGAGAAGCAGGCUCCAUGCAGGGAGCCUGAUGUGGGACUCAAUCCCGGCACUCCAGGAUCACGCCCCGGGCUGAAGGCAGGCACUAAACAGCUGAGCCACCCAGGGAUCCCCAGAAAUUUUCAAAUUAUAUGUGAUUCAAACUAUAAUUCUAUCACACUGAGCCACUCUGGACAAAAUUAACUAAAUAUAAAAUUAACUAAAUAUAAACAUAAUUAAGUUCUUGCAAGAAAAGAAUAUUUUAUUUUUUUUUCUUUUCUUUUUUGGGGGGCAGGGCAGAGGGGGGGAGGGGGAGAGAGAGAGAGAGAGAGAGAGAGAGAACCUUAAGCAGGCUUCAACCACCACCCCCCAAGCCACAGAGCCCAAGCAGGUUGGAUCUCACAACCCCCAAAAUCACAACUUGAGCUGAAUUCAAGAGUCAGAUGCUUAACCAACUGAGCCACCCCAGGUGCCCCAAAGAGAAUGUUUAGAACAUCACUCUCAAUCACCUGAAACAUCAUCCUGAAAGUUCAUGUUACAAUAGCCCAUCACACUAUAUGCAGAACACAGAGUAAACAAGUCUCAGCAUCAGAAUAUAAAUUUACCCAAGGAAAAUUUAGUGAUACACUAUGUUUUUAAGCAUUUACAGAUGGAUGGGUAAUAAACAGGAGAUAAUAUAAAAGAGGUAAGCUUCAGAGUUACAAUAGCUUAAAAAGUGUUUGAUAAAAACUAAGACAGGAGAGACUCAUUCUCUAGGAAACUAGUUAUAGAAUAUAACAGCAAAUUAUACAAAGAUAAGGAGAAUAUUAAAAU